rnacentral:ncRNA from 2 species
UUCAGCUGCGUCCUCCGAGUCUUUAUAUCCUAAGGCGUCCGCUACGGAUUAAAGACCGGGGUUGUAUUGGAAACGAUACAGCCUCCCAUUGCGGAAAGGAGAACUUUUAUGAAACGG